rnacentral:siRNA from 1 species
AUCGAUCUUAGUCAAUGUCCUUGC